rnacentral:rRNA from 1 species
UACAGAGGUCCCGAGCGUUGUUCGGAUUCACUGGGCGUAAAGGUGCGUAGGUGGCGAGGUAAGUCGGAUGUGAAAGCUCGGAGCUCAACUCCGAAAUGGCAUUGGAAACUACCUUGCUCGAGGGUUGGAGGGGGGACUGGAAUACUUGGUGUAGCAGUGAAAUGCGUAGAUAUCAAGUGGAACACCAGUGGCGAAGGCGAGUCCCUGGACAACUCCUGACACUGAGGCACGAAAGCUAGGGGAGCAAACAGG